GACUCUCCUUCAUGCAUCGGUAUGAUAUAAUGAACCCAAAAACAAUGUGAUGAAUAAAAAUGAUAAGUUUACCAUGCUUCCAAUCUUAAUGUCGAUGAAACAAAGUCCGUGAGGGAAUGAGGGAGUGUGCAAGUGAACAAGAGAGUGUCUAAGUGAACGAAGGAGUGUGUAAGUGAACGAGAGAGUGUCUAAGUGAACGAGGGAGUGCAUGAAUGAAUGAGGUAGUGUGUAAGUGAAUAAGAGAGUGUGUGAGGGAAUGAGGGAGUGUGUAAGUGAACGA